CCUACGGGUGGCAGCAGUGAGGAAUAUUGGUCAAUGGACGAGAGUCUGAACCAGCCAAGUCGCGUGAAGGAUGACUGCCCUAUGGGUUGUAAACUUCUUUUAUAUGGGAAUAAAAUGUUCCACGUGUGGGAUUUUGUAUGUACCAUAUGAAUAAGGAUCGGCUAACUCCGUGCCAGCAGCCGCGGUAAUACGGAGGAUCCGAGCGUUAUCCGGCUUUAUUGGGUUUAAAGGGAGCGUAGGUGGAUUGUUAAGUCAGUUGUGAAAGUUUGCGGCUCAACCGUAAAAUGGCAGUUGAAACUGGCAGUCUUGAGUACAGUAGAAGUGGGCGGAAUUCGUGGUGUAGCGGUGAAAUGCUUAGAUAUCACGAAGAACUCCGAUUGCGAAGGCAGUUCACUGGACUGCAACUGACACUGAGGCUCGAAAGUGUGGGUAUCAAACAGGAUUAGAUACCCUAGUAGUC
rnacentral:rRNA from 1 species